rfam:Oryza rufipogon genomic scaffold, chr05
GAAAAGACAAACCAUGGGUUUGCGUGUCUAACUUUGACUGUCCGUCUUAUAUGAAAUUUUUUUAUAAUUCGUAUUUUCAUUGUUGUUAGAUGAUAAAACAUGAUUAAUAUUUUAUGCGUGACUUGUCUUUUUAAUUUUUUUCAUAAUUUUUUCAAAUAAGACGAACGGUCAAACGUUAGACACGGAAACCAAGGUUUGUCUUUUUU